GUCAGUUAACAAGGAACUUGAGAGGGUUCUGAUUAGCAAGUAAACAUGUAAUUCAUUGUGCAAGCAGCAGAGAGGAUUGGCUAACAAUUUGAAGGAAAAGGACAGGAGAUGCUGAAAAUCUGUUAGCAGGCUGUUACAAGGCAGCAGAAGGAAGAGAGGCAGGAACUGAGGCACUGCAGGGAACAUGGAGAGAAAGCUGUGAAAGACUGGUCAUCUCUUGUGCCUAAUAAACCAGAGAAUGCAGUGCUGGUCUCCAGUCACUAACAACUAUCCCUGAAUUAAGGAGAUCAACAAAGAGUUGCCACAUUGGAACCAUUCAUUAGCUCCCUAAAUGUCUUGUCAUGAUACCUGGCACGCAUCAGAAGCAAGGAAGUGUUUUGUAAAUAGCUCCUAAGUAAAGAUGACCUGGGACGGGGGCCCAGUGUCUGACAUAGAGCCAGCUCAUGGGACCUGACAGGAACACCAAGGACACAGCAGUCAGGACUGGAUGGAGCUGAACUCUUAGGCCCACUGGCUGCAGAGAAGUGGAAGGCGGAAUGGCGUUAGAUGGAUAGAAGCCUUUCUCACAACCAGGGAGACUGCUGAUGUAUUUACUAAAGUCCUGUUACAAGAAAACAUCCCAAGGUUUGGUCUACCUCAGAGUAUUCAGUUAGAUAACGGUCCAGCCAUUAUUUCUCAAAUCACUCAACAGGUAUCCUCAAGCUUACACAUCACCUGAUGCCUACACAUUCCAUACCAUCCACAAUCCUCAGGAAAAGUAGAAAAGGCAAAUGGCCUCUGUUAUGGUUUGAGAACUGGUGGUCAAGUUAACACCAGCUGGAUUACAUCAGCAUGCAUUGAGAGAAGAUGCUCCACCUGAGGAGGGUUGCCAGGAUAAAUAGGUGGAGAAGAAGAGAGGUGGGGAGAGGGAUUGAGGCAUUAAGGAGGCAUUGGGGGUUCUCCUACGAGUUGCUGUCUGAGCUGUUGGUUCUCCUGGAGAAGCUUUGGUCCUCACAUCGAGCAUUGAGCAUUGCUUCCUGGCUCCGGAGGGGAAGACAUGUGCUGCUUGGUCUCCAGGAUGAACUCAUCACGCUGCUUCCUGGCACGUACCCGAAUGUGCUUGUCAUCAGAGGAGUUCAGGGCCUCCAUGUCACUAAGGACAGCUGUGGUGCCUUUCAGGCUAGCCCUGUUCUUUGCUGUGAGUGUGACUUCUCGGCUCCAGUGUAGAACCAUCAUCCCACUAGCACAGCUCCUUCAUCCUGCUUACAUAGACUUUCUGGCUUCCACCACUGACCUUUGGGUCUUCCCGGCAUGGAUCCAUAAAAGAGACUGGUGUGAGUCCUUCUUGUGGGCUCUGGACCUCCCGUUGGACUCGUGGGAGGCAUUGUCCUGAGCUCUGGGUUUUUAUCUGGACUCAUGUGGGACAUUGCCAUAGGGUUUAGGCUCUUGACUAAAUAAUCUAUGUCUUUGGUGUUGCGGAUAGAUUUCCUGCAUUUUCUUGUGUUAACUUCUGUUGACCAUUAUAAAAAUAUUAUGAACUCCA